UUAACUGUGGCUGGGGGAGCAUUGA
rnacentral:piRNA from 1 species